rnacentral:misc_RNA from 1 species
AACUAACGUUUUACUAGUAACAGUUUCUGUACUUUAUUGGUAUGAGAAACUUUCAGAAUUCAUUUUCUGAAUAAAUUUUGAAUGGAAGCCUUCGGGC